rnacentral:rRNA from 1 species
CGAACGGGUGAGUAACGCGUGAGGAACCUGCCUCAAAGAGGGGGACAACAGUUGGAAACGACUGCUAAUACCGCAUAAGCCCACGGGUCGGCAUCGACCUGAGGGAAAAGGAGUGAUCCGCUUUGAGAUGGCCUCGCGUCCGAUUAGCUAGUUGGUGAGGUAAUGGCCCACCAAGGCGACGAUCGGUAGCCGGACUGAGAGGUUGAACGGCCACAUUGGGACUGAGACACGGCCCAG